rnacentral:rRNA from 1 species
CUCUAGCCCAACCUACAUUGACCUGGAAUAACAAAGCUACUCAUUACAUUAAACUAAAGCAUUUACUAGUCUUAGUAUAGGCGAUAGAAAAGACACCAUUGGAGCGAUAGAGAUCACGUACCGUAAGGGAAAGAUGAAAUAGCAGUGAAAUACCCUAAGCUAAAAAUAGCAAAGAUCAACCCUUGUACCUUUUGCAUAAUGGUCUAGCAAGAAAAACCAAGCAAAAUGAAUUUAAGUUUGCCACCCCGAAACCCAAGCGAGCUACUUGCGAGCAGCUAUUAUUGAGCGAACCCGUCUCUGUUGCAAAAGAGUGGGAUGACUUGCUAGUAGAGGUGAAAAGCCAAUCGAGCUGGGUGAUAGCUGGUUGCCUGUGAAACGAAUCUAAGUUCACUCUUAAUUCUUCUCCAAGGAAACCUAACAGAACCCUAAUGAAGCGAAUUAAGGGCUAUUUAAAGGGGGUACAGCUCCUUUAAAAAAGAAUACAAUCUCUACGAGCGGAUAAAUAAUUUCUUCUACAACUUAAUGUGGGCCUUCAAGCAGCCAUCAACAAAGAGUGCGUUAAAGCUCUGAACUCUAAAAAUAUAAAAACCAUAUGACUCCCUCAUCAUUAACAGGCUAACCUAUGUUUCAAUAGGAGAAUUAAUGCUAGAAUGAGUAACCUGGGUCCUCCCUCUUCGACGCAAGCUUACAUCCACACAUUAUUAACAAAC